rnacentral:rRNA from 1 species
GAUGAACGCUGGCGGCGUGCUUAACACAUGCAAGUCGAACGGAAAGGCCCCAGCUUGCUGGGGUACUCGAGUGGCGAACGGGUGAGUAACACGUGAGUGAUCUGCCCUGUACUUUGGGAUAAGCUUGGGAAACUGGGUAUACUACCGAAUAUGACCGCUUCUUGGAUGGUGUGGUGGAAAGCUUUUGCGGUGUGGGAUGGGCCUGCGGCGUAUCAGCUUGUUGGUGGGGUAAGGGCCUACCAAGGCGGCGACGGGUAUCCGGCCUGAGUGGGUGUACGGACACAUUGGGACUGAGAUACGGCCCAGACUCCUACGGGAGGCAGCAGUGGGGAAUAUUGCACAAUGGGCGCAAGCCUGAUGCAGCGACGCCGCGUGGGGGAUGAAGGCCUUCGGGUUGUAAACUCCUUUCGCUAUCGACGAAGCCACUUGUGGUGACGGUAGGUAGAUAAGAAGCACCGGCUAACUACGUGCCAGCAGCCGCCGUAA